UCCAACCAGGUCUGAUUGUUUGUUUUCAAUUGACGUGUUUUAAUUUUUUCAGCUCAUUAUGUAUCAUAAUCGAGUUAGAUUUCCUUAAGCGUACAUGCAGAAAUUAAAAUGUCAAAACAAAAAGUGUUAACGUUGAACGAGAAAAUUCGGGUUUUGGAAUUGUCAAAGAGUAUAAGUGCACGUAAAAUCGCAGACGAGAUUGGAGUCGGAAAAACCCAAAUUCAGAACAUUCUUAAGCGUAAAGCCGAGGUGCUUGAAGACGUGGAAAAUAAUGUGUCAGUGACAUGUCAAGCAUGAAGACACAGCUUCACAUAAACCCAGAACAAAUGCUUAAUGUGUCCAGAACCAGAAAUGACAUUCUUCGGGACAUAAACAAAAAUUUGGAUGAAGAACUCGUGCCCAACUCGUGUCUUUAAAAAAAGAAAUAUUUCAACGUUCAAUUAUUUCCAGAAAUCUUAAUAUGUAUUUACUGAUAUGACAUGAUGUGUAUAUUGUACUCUCUAAAUAUUAUAAAUAACUCUUAAUAAAUAUGAAUGUUC